UGGCUUCUUUUGAGGCAACAGCUGCACUUAAAACUACAGUAUCUCCGUAGCGGACCAAAACUGCUCCAUUUGCUUGUUUUGCCAAUUGUCCGAUUUCAACUUGUAACGGACGGCCGCCCCAUGUCGUUUUAAAAACUUGUUUUUCUGACAUAAUUUCUCCUUUUCUCCUGUGAAAAGCAAGA
rnacentral:ncRNA from 1 species